UACGUAGGGUGCGAGCGUUGUCCGGAUUUAUUGGGCGUAAAGAGCUCGUAGGCGGUUUGUCGCGUCGGCCGUGAAAUCUCCACGCUUAACGUGGAGCGUGCGGUCGAUACGGGCAGACUUGAGUUCGGUAGGGGAGACUGGAAUUCCUGGUGUAGCGGUGAAAUGCGCAGAUAUCAGGAGGAACACCGGUGGCGAAGGCGGAUCUCUGGGCCUACCUGACGCUCAGGUGCGAAAGCUAGGGGAGCGAACAGG
rnacentral:rRNA from 1 species